AUUGGUCCAGUUGUCUUUGGCCAAGUCGUGCUCUUGCUCUGAUUUACCCUUUCCCCUCCAGUCCUCAUGAUUGCACAAGGAACUCCGGCAAAGGGAGAAAACAACUGUUAAUGAGGAGAGAAAAGGUCAAACAGAUCAAGUAAAAGUCAUCCUGCUUCCAGCACAGAGAACAAUCGAAGCUGAUCCUGCCCAAACCAGGUGUUGGACUGAGGAUGAGACCAGGCUGAAAGAAUUUUCACCGAGAAAGGAAUAUCAAGAUUUUGACAGAGAACCAAAACAUGUAAGGUUUAGUAGGAGCCCUGAUGGAUUUUCCAACAGGU
rnacentral:lncRNA from 1 species